UUUACCUAAGAAGAUGCAGAAUCAUAAUUUAACACUUUUUAUGGGUAGUCAAGCCUCUAAAUGUCGGCUCUCAAAUCCGUUCACACGAACUUCAUAGUCAAUAUGAUUCAAUAUUUGAACCUUUCUUCUCUUGUAGAGCUUCUCCCUUGCGUCGACCAAGCAAGCUCAAAGGGGUUUAUGGUUCUUUUGUUUUCAUUAGGUAAUCGAAGAAACAAUUUCCUCAAUUUGCUAACUUAAGAAUGACAACUUCAAAUGUCUCUUGAGUGGCUUAGAAAAGGAAAAAGCUUUUGGCUAUGGAGGUUAAGAGAAAACUUGAGGAAGAAUAUGAGGAAUUUUGGUAGCUUUUAUGCUUUAG
rnacentral:misc_RNA from 1 species